ACUCCUACGGGAGGCAGCAGUGAGGAAUAUUGGACAAUGGGUGGAAGCCUGAUCCAGCCAUCCCGCGUGCAGGAAGACGGCCCUAUGGGUUGUAAACUGCUUUUAUCUGGGGAUAAACCUACUUACGUGUAAGUAGCUGAAGGUACCAGAAGAAUAAGCACCGGCUAACUCCGUGCCAGCAGCCGCGGUAAUACGGAGGGUGCAAGCGUUAUCCGGAUUUAUUGGGUUUAAAGGGUCCGUAGGCGGACUGAUAAGUCAGUGGUGAAAUCCGACAGCUUAACUGUCGAACUGCCAUUGAUACUGUUAGUCUUGAGUAAGGUUGAAGUGGCUGGAAUAAGUAGUGUAGCGGUGAAAUGCAUAGAUAUUACUUAGAACACCAAUUGCGAAGGCAGGUCACUAAGUCUUAACUGACGCUGAUGGACGAAAGCGUGGGGAGCGAACAGGAUUAGAAAUCCCAGUAGUCCCAUG
rnacentral:rRNA from 1 species